AUGUUUAUGAUUAGAACUUUUAAACAAUAUAGAAAGAAAAAAACGAAAAAGAAAAGACAGAGAGGAUUUUUUUUCGGUUCACCUUUCUCCUUAAACGAUGUCAUCAACAAAUCAUUUCCAAUCUUCCAAAUUCAACAAAAUGAGAUUAAAAAAAAUCAAAUCUACAACAAUUCAGAAUCUCAUCAAAAUCAUCCCAAUCUUUAUUCAGGACUUAAAUCAAGUCAAGAUCCAAAACUUCAAGGCUAUGAAAAUCAAUACAAAAGGAAAUCAAAUCUUCAAAUUCUUGACACAAAAUCAAUCAAAACUUCACUAAUUUCAAGAAAUCCAUUACAAUCCAAAUCAUCCUUAGAAUUGCUCAAUCAACAUUAA